CACGCAGGUGGCUUGGCAAGUCGGAUGUGAAAGCCCCGGGCUUAACCUGGGAACUGCAUUCGAUACUGUCAGGCUAGAGUAUGGGAGAGGAAAGUGGAAUUCCCGGUGUAGCGGUGAAAUGCGUAGAUAUCGGGAGGAACAUCAGUGGCGAAGGCGGCUUUCUGGCCCAAUACUGACACUCAUGUGCGAAAGCGUGGGGAGCAAACA
rnacentral:rRNA from 1 species